UAAUUAUACAAAAUAUUAAAAACACACCUGGAAAUCAAGAUUACAAGGAGAUGGAGAGAAUUUGAAAAGAAGAGAGUUGUAGAGAGAUGAUUAAAAACAUAGAAAUGAGGCUCUAUUUAUAGAAAAAUAAAUUCAUAAUCACUACUAGAAAAAUAGGCUACCAUGACAGAGAAUAUCUGUCAUCCGACCCUGUUUAUGACAGAGUUUCUAUCUAUCAUUAUAGCCCCUCUCAUAAAUCCGUGACAGUAAUUUAUCUAUCACAGGUGUAUGUGACAGCUUAUAGCUAUCACAAAUGUGUCACAACAAAAGCAACAUCGUUUUAAUAUUUUAGUGGUAAAUUUGUUUUAUUGUGAAAAAACAUUUAGCGGGUGUUGUGCAAAUUUUAAUGUACUCGCAAGCGCACGAAUCUAUUGUAGUAUAGAUCAAUGGUGACGAGUGUCGAUCCCACGAGGAGGUGGAUUUUAAUUAUAUGUAGAAUUAAUUUUGUAAAUGGGUGGUUGGAAUUGUGGUGGAAGUGAUUUAAAUUAUCACAAAAUUGGAAUUGAAAUGGCGAUAAUAAAUUCUAAAAUUGGACUUGCAAUGGCGAGAAUAAAUUGAAGAUAAUUCUAUUGAAAUGACGUACUUGGGUAUUCGGAUCCGCAUCAACAUGCAUCAUGGGCUAAAUAAUCCAUAUUAAUGCCAAUUAAAUCAUGAGGGGGGAAUCCACACCUCAUGAACCACAUUCUAAUCAACAUGGUGCUAAGGGCUUAUCGUGCCAAAUAAUAAUAACCUUGUACUAGAGGGCCGGUGAAACCAAGGCGGUACUAGACAAGAUUAGUAUUAUUUGUCGAUGAGAAGUCAAAACAUCCACAAAAACUAGAGGGGAAGAGAAAAUAAAUUUACCAAAUUAAGCCCAUGACACAUGUUGAGACUUCACCUUCAACCCAAGCUUGAAAGAAAAUUAGCCACUCAUAAUUGAACUAGGGGCAAAAUAGGAAUUUAUUAAAAUACGAAGAAAAUACAAGAUGGAGAAGGAAUUACAUAAAAUGGAUCCCAAAAAUGGAUUUAGAGAUAUCAAAUUAGGGGGGAGAGGCCCCCUUUUUAUAGAUACAUGGAGUAAAUCAUGGCCAUCGGAUUAAAAACAGUUUGGACGCUCAGGAUUACGCCACGUCAUCAGUCAACAGUCCACGGUUUGACCACGCGGAUGAACAGUAACACGGUUUGACCCGACUUUGAACAGUAACACGGUUUGACCCAGAUGAACAGUAACGCGGUUUGGUUGAAAAUAAUCCUGUGUGAUGCAUGCAUCGUACGCGAGAUUUUUCGUCCACUGAUAUGCUGCCACGUCACCAUCAACAGUACAUAAGAAUUUUAGUCCAACAGGAUCGUGACACCUCAUCAGUCAAUGCCACAUCAUCGGUCAAUGCCACGUCAUCAUCCGUCUAUGUGAACAGUGCCGUGAACAGUAACGUAUACAGUACCGUACACGUGAAUAGUAUCGUACAUGUGAAUAAUGCCAUUUUUCCUUUUAUGCUCCUCCUAAGGUUUUUGACCGUCCUGAGUUCAAAAGUGAUGUCCGUUUUGCCGUCUGAUUUCUCCUUUAUUGUGAAAUGACUAUAAUGCCCCUAAAAUACAUAAAAUACUUAAUUAAAAUAAAACACAUGUAAUUAAAUCAUAAGAAGGUUAAAUACAUAAAAAUAAGGGUUGUUAGUAAGACUUGAAAUGUAAAAUGACGGUUUUCUCCUUUAUAAAUAUGCAUUUUCUAACACUCAACAGCGGGUAUUAUGAAUUCAAUUUUAAAUUAUGGCGCGUAAUUAUGUGUCGCAGCUUUAUGAUGCUCAUAUGGUGUCACG
rnacentral:lncRNA from 1 species